rnacentral:lncRNA from 1 species
CGCCGUACUUCUUGGCCACCUUGGCCAUCUCCUCCUGCGCCACGUACAGCUGCCACGCCGCGGACAGGCGGCCGGCGUCCUUGCCGGAGUCGGAGUAGCCGACCAUCACCUGCUGCUUGCCGUUGAUGUGGUUGAUGUACCAGUCAGUGGAGAAGAGCUUCUCCACGGACGCCGGCGCCGCCUGCAGGUCGGCCAGCCUCUCGAACAGCGGCACCACGGGGAGCGUCUGGCGAAUGCCACACUCGCGCUGCAGGAGCUCGACGGCGAGCACGUCCGAGGGCGCCGUGCACAUGGAGAUGAUGUAGGGGCCGAAGCUGUCGAUCGGGAGCUCGGCCAGGACGCGCAUGGCGCCGAUGACGUCGGCGAUCUCCUCGGUCAUGGGAAGGUCCGGGGGCAGCAGUGGGCGCUUGCCUUUCAGCUCCGACACCAGCCACUCCAUCCGCUUGUCCUCGGGCCACGAGCGGUACGACCCGAUGCCGAGGUGCGUGGUGAUGGCGUCGAUCACGUCGGUGUGCCGCUCCGACUCCUGCCGGAUGUCCAGCUUCACCAGGGAGAGACCGAACGCGAACACCUGGCGAAGGAG